rnacentral:ncRNA from 1 species
AUUAUGGAGAGUUUGAUCCUGGCUCAGGACGAACGCUGGCGGCGUGCCUAAUACAUGCAAGUCGAGCGGAAUGAUGAAGAAGCUUGCUUCUUCUGAUUUUAGCGGCGGACGGGUGAGUAACACGUGGGCAACCUACCUUGUAGAUUGGGAUAACUCCGGGAAACCGGGGCUAAUACCA